GAUGAACGCUGGCGGCGUGCCUAAUACAUGCAAGUCGAGCGAACAGACGAGGAGCUUGCUCCUCUGACGUUAGCGGCGGACGGGUGAGUAACACGUGGAUAACCUACCUAUAAGACUGGGAUAACUUCGGGAAACCGGAGCUAAUACCGGAUAAUAUAUUGAACCGCAUGGUUCAAUAGUGAAAGACGGUUUUGCUGUCACUUAUAGAUGGAUCCGCGCCGCAUUAGCUAGUUGGUAAGGUAACGGCUUACCAAGGCAACGAUGCGUAGCCGACCUGAGAGGGUGAUCGGGCACCCUGGAACUGAGACACGGUCCAGACCCCUACGGGAGGCAGCAGUAGGGAAUCUUCCGCAAUGGGCGAAAGCCUGACGGAGCAACGCCGCGUGAGUGAUGAAGGUCUUCGGAUCGUAAAACUCUGUUAUUGGGGAAGAACAAAUGUGUAAGUAACUAUGCACGUCUUGACGGUACCUAAUCAGAAAGCCACGGCUAACUACGUG
rnacentral:rRNA from 1 species